GGUUCCAUGGUGUAAUGGUUAGCAGUCUGCAUUCUGAAUCCAGUUAUUCAAGUUCAAGUUUUGGUGGAAUCU
rnacentral:tRNA from 1 species